CACGUAGGGGACGAGCGUUGUCCGGAUUCAUUGGGCGUAAAGCGCGCGUAGGCGGCUCGGCAAGUCGGGCGUGAAAUCCCGGGGCUCAACCCCGGAACUGCAUUGGAUACUGCUCUGCUUGAGCACUGGAGAGGAGACUGGAAUUUACGGUGUAGCAGUGAAAUGCGUAGAGAUCGUAAGGAAGACCAGUGGCGAAGGCGAGUCUCUGGACAGUUGCUGACGCUGAGGCACGAAGGCCAGGGGAGCAAACGGG
rnacentral:rRNA from 1 species